rnacentral:rRNA from 1 species
CAGCAGCCGCGGUAAUACGUAGGGUGCGAGCGUUGAUCGGAUUUACUGGGCGUAAAGCGUGCGCAGGCGGCCCGUUAAGACAGGUGUGAAAUCCCUGGGCUCAACCUAGGAAUUGCGCUUGUGACUGGCGGGCUCGAGUACGGUAGAGGGGGGUGGAAUUCCUGGUGUAGCAGUGAAAUGCGUAGAGAUCAGGAGGAACACCGAUGGCGAAGGCAGCCCCCUGGGCCUGUACUGACGCUCAUGCACGAAAGCGUGGGGAGCAAACAGGAUUAGAUACCCUGGUAGUCCACGCCCUAAACGAUGGGUACUAGCCGUUUGGUGCGCGAUAGCGCUGAGUGGCGAAGCUAACGCGUGAAGUACCCCGCCUGGGGAGUACGGCCGCAAGGUUGAAACUUAAAGGAAUUGGCGGG